rnacentral:rRNA from 1 species
AUGGACGACAUAGAGUUCUUCUUCGAGGAAUCUGCAUCAGGGUUGGUGACGCGUGUGUCCGGCAAAGUUUUCUUAAGUGGUCUAGUUGCGGGUGAGCAACUGACUGAAGGCGGCACAAGUGGAACAGAGGAUGCGGAGGAGGAGUUGAUUUCUUCUCUGCCCAUGGGUCGAGCUGGAGGCGGCAUGGAUUGUGAAGCCGGCGAAGGUGCUGGUAUGGGGGGCUGCGCAAUGUAUAAUCUUGGCGACGAAGGGGUGGGCGAUUCCUGCGAGAUAGGCGGUGCAAAUACAAUCCCUGAUGCCAUGGGCCAGGAUGCAGACGAAGAUGGCGUGGGAGUGUCAAACGCAAAACAAUCUUCUUGGACCAGGAGGUGA